AGAAUGAACGCUGGCGGCGUGCUUUACACAUGCAAGUCGAGCGAGGCGGCCCGCAAGGGUCAGUCGAGCGGCGAACGGGUGAGUAACGCGUGGAUAACCUGCCCAGAGGUGGGGGAUAACCCGGGGAAACUCGGGCUAAUACCGCAUGAUACCGAGAGGUCAAAGGCGGCUCGCAAGGGCUGUCGCCAUUGGAGGGGUCCGCGUCCGAUUAGCUAGUUGGUAGGGUAAUGGCCUACCAAGGCGACGAUCGGUAGCCGGCCUGAGAGGGUGAUCGGCCACACUGGAACUGAGACACGGUCCAGACUCCUACGGGAGGCAGCAGUGGGGAAUUUUGCGCAAUGGGCUAACGCCUGACGCAGCAACGCCGCGUGGAGGAUGAAGGUCUUUGGAUUGUAAACUCCUGUCAGCAGGGAAAAAGCGAAUCGGCCUAACACGCCGGUGAGUUGAUUGUACCUGCAGAGGAAGCCCCGGCUAACUCUGUGCCAGCAGCCGCGGUAAUACAGAGGGGGCAAGCGUUAUUCGGAAUUAUUGGGCGUAAAGGGCGCGUAGGCGGCUUGGCAAGUGGAUGGUGAAAUCCCUCGGCUUAACCGAGGAACUGCCAUUCAAACUGCUUUGCUUGAGGCCGGGAGAGGCGAGUGGAAUUCCCAGUGUAGCGGUGAAAUGCGUAGAUAUUGGGAGGAACACCAGUGGCGAAGGCGGCUCGCUGGACCGGUUCUGACGCUGAUGCGCGAAAGCGUGGGGAGCAAACGGGAUUAGAUACCCCGGUAGUCCACGCCGUAAACGAUGAGUGCUUGGUGUAGCGGGUAUCGACCCCUGCUGUGCCGAAGUCAACACAUUAAGCACUCCGCCUGGGGAGUACGGUCGCAAGGC
rnacentral:rRNA from 1 species